rnacentral:rRNA from 1 species
UACGUAGGGUGCGAGCGUUGUCCGGAAUUAUUGGGCGUAAAGAGCUCGUAGGCGGUCUGUCGCGUCGGUCGUGAAAACUUGGGGCUUAACCCUGAGCUUGCGGUCGAUACGGGCAUGACUGGAGUUCGGUAGGGGAGACUGGAAUUCCUGGUGUAGCGGUAAAUGCGGCAGAUAUCAGGAGGAACACCGAUGGCGAAGGCAGCUCGCUGGGACGGUACUGACGCUGAGGCGCGAAAGCGUGGGGAGCAAACAGGAUUAGA